GAUGAACGCUGGCGGCGGGCCUAACACAUGCAAGUCGAGCGAAAAGACAGUAAGAUUGCUCCUCUGAGGUUAGCGGGUGGCGGGCGAGUAAGAAGUGCAUCACCAACUUCUUAUACUGGGGUGAUAACGGGAAAAAGGUGCCACUAAUGCCUCAUAUGAUCAACGGGUGGGAUCAAUAGUGCUUCACGGCUUUGCCGUCACUAUUAGACGGUGCCGCGUUGGCUAGUUGGGUAGGUAAGGGCACACCAAGCCAAGGAUACGUAGCUGACCUGAGAGGAUGGUCAGCCACACUGGAACUGAGACACGGUCCAGACUCCUACGGGAGGCAGCAGUAGGGAAUCUUCGGCAAUGGGCGAAAGCCUGAUGCAGCAAUGCCGCGUGAGUGAAGAAGGUCUUCGGGUCGUAAAGCUCUGUUAUUAGGAAAGAACAAAUGUGUGAUAAUCCAUCGACGUCUUGACGGUACCUAAACAAUAAGCCCCGGCUAACUACGUG
rnacentral:rRNA from 1 species